UCCCUGGUGGCUCAGAUGUUAAAGUGUCUGCCUAGAGUGCAGGAGACCUAGGUUCGAUCCCUGGGUUGGGAA
rnacentral:tRNA from 1 species